ensembl:lncRNA
UGGAUUUGUCUUCAAAUGUGUCAUGUUUUUGCCAGACACAUUACAGAGACUCUAGCAAUAAAUAAAUGUAAUGUAAAUAAAGUAAAGUAAAGUAAAGUAAAGUGAAGUAAAAUAAAUAAUCUAAUCUUUGUUUAAAUUUUUAGAUUGUCCCUUUCCAAAUAAUAAUAAUAAUAAUAAUAAUAAUAAUUUUAAUAUAUUUAAACAGUGAAAGUUUUAUUGUUUUUAAAUAUUUUCUUAAGACCCAUCUUGUUAGGCUUUUAUGUAAUUGUUUGUAUUUGGUCUGUUAGGAUGUAAUAAUGAUUAUUUUUUUUUAAUGUUGAUUGUUUUGUUUUAAUGUGUCCUUGAGUGUCAUGUAAGGUGCCUAUAAAUAAAAUGAAAUUAAUGUUACCCAGAGGUCAAGUUCAUUAUUUACGUUUGACAUUUCAUGUAACGGACCGCUAACUGCGCUCAUCAGCUGUAUGUGGUAACCGUAGCGGUCCCUUUAAGAGAAUUGGACCGAGGUAUUUUGAAAACGGGGGAGAACUGUUCAUUUAGUAGUGAAAAGUCAUGUACAAAGAGUGUAUAUACUGCAUAUUUGAUCUAUUUAUUAUGUAACUACACUAUUAUUUACUAUACUGUAAAACUAAAUAUCAGCUAAUGAUAUUAAGGGGAAAUGAUAAGGGCUGUUUGACCGACCCCCCCCCCCUCUUUCGCACAACGGUUUGUUCUCGAUCUAAGGCUCAUGAUGCAGUGGGAUUCAAUAAGCUGGUAGGUGCUGCCCAACGCAAGGUUUUCAGCUCCAGUCUACAACGAAUGAGCACGGAAAUAUACCGCAGCAUCCUCAUUCAUUUGAAGUGUUUACGCGCAGAUCAUAAAGAUCAACAAAAAAGGAAUAAAAUAAGAGAAGUGGAUUGGUGA